AACAUCUGUAUAUAGAGGGUCUGACUUAACAUCUAUAGAGGGUCUAACUGAAUGUCUGUCUAUAGAGGGUCUGACUGAGCAUCUGUUGUAUUUAAACAACUUUUUCAUAUCAGUCUGACAUAUAAAUAUAAUGUUUGAACUCUGGCCCUCAGAAAUGUGCAGGAAAUAAGUAACCUGCACCUGGGUUGCUCUUCAAACGGUUAUUGUAGAGACAAGUCAUCAAUUUGCACACUGAUCAAAAAUUCUCUUCUUUCAUACAAGUGUAUAUUAUUUGAUGAGCGACCCAUGUGUGGGUCACUUAUUUCCAUCACCUUUGGAGGGCAAGAGUUCUGACAUUAUAAAAAGUUGAUAACACACCAGAAUAGUUCAGGCUUGGAUUGACGGAGUGAAUGUAGUAUUUAAUAAUGCCAUUAUUUACCUCACACCAAUCAUAAAGGUCCACACAGAAUCACUGUGUAUAACAAGUCCAGACUUGUAGCUAACUAAGACAGUGUAGACACAAUGUACAUAUAAAAUCUAAGUUAUACUGUAUAUUAUAUGUUAUCUCAUUUUUUCUAUUGACUCAACAUGUAUAAGAUUGCAAUCUCAGGGUGUGAUUAUUAUGUAGGUGCAAUAGCUGAUAAUGCAGUGUCCAAUCACAGGGACUUGCAAUUGAUGAAUUUUAGUGUUAGUAUACACAGGUACCUGUGAUUGGGGAAUUCCAGUGUCAGUAUACACAGGUACCUGUGAUUGGGGAAUUCAAGUGUCAGUAUACACAGGGACUUGUGAUUGGGGAAUUCCAGUGUCAGUAUACACGGGUACCUGUGAUUGGGGAAUUCCAGUGUCAGUAUACACAGGGACCUGUGAUUGGGGAAUUCCAGUGUCAGUAUACACAGGGACCAGUGAUUGGGGAAUUCCAGUGUCAGUAUACACAGGGACCUGUGGUGUAGAUAUACUUUGUAUACACAGGGGCUUGUGAUGUUGACUGUGCAGUGUCUAUACACAGGGGCUUGUGAUGUAAGCACUUCAGGGUUAUAUAUAUACAUAGGGACCUGUGGUGUAUAUAUAUAUAUCAUGUAUACACAGGGGUGUGUUAUCUAUUGAAAGAUUCUUUUUUAUAACUUUGCGUAGUUUUGUACUGUGAAACAAUCAUGUUGGGAUGAGAGUAAUCCCAGGCUUGGCAUAAACUUGUUAGGGUAAAGUUCCCUCGAUAGAUAUUUUCCUUUUUUUUGCUAUGAACACCUACUUAUUUUGAAAAUUGUGAAAUAUUUUAUCCUGUAAUUUUUGUUCUACACAACACUACAACUGCUCUAUCUUUUUUAACUGACUGCUACAUUUAAACAAUCAGGAAUCAUUGGAUGGGGAGGAGUAUCAAAAUAUUUCAUACAGAAAUAACUUCAUUCAGUGUGCUUAGAGUUUAAUGUUUCACAUAUUAAAAGGAUGUAAUGAAAUAUAUGAUAAUAUGUAAAAGAUAGCUUUCAAGUAAAUUAUAGUAUUAUAUGUCAGAAUAUUAGAUUAAUAUAACAUCAUGUGACAUUAAACAUUAUAAUAAAUGGAAUGUGAUAUAAACAGAAGUUCACUUAAUAUGAAAUUAAAAUUAGAUAUUUCAGCUUUUCCUGACGAGUCAAUAUUUUAACAUUAAUUCAAAAUUGGACUUAAAACAUCUCAGCUCUUUUUUCCACUGUGUUGCACCUAGGCACCAAGUCUUAGCGUGGACACUCACAGUCAUUACACAGAGCCUGUUUUUAUUGAUAACCAUUUGAUUAAAAACAAUGACAUAAUAUGAGUGAUAAUUAUCACUAUUUAUACAUGAUAUCUUGGGAAACUGCAAAUAGCAAUACAACAUAAUAUUGAACCAACUUAUACAUGUGAUAGAGAUUGAUACAAAAUGUACUGUUAUUAGCUACAUUGCAUUUGUAAAAAAAAUUUAAGUGCUGCUUGUUUGAAAUCUUUUCUAGUUAGCGAUAUAGAACAGAAAAAAGGUUCUGUAAUUCUUACUGUAUAUGUGCUCAUCUUACAGAGUCCUUUUUUCAUUUUUUUUUGUUUUUUUUUUGUUUUUUGUUUUAUUAUUAUCAUUAAAAUUUGAAAUUGAAGUUUUAACCUGCAGUGAAUUAUUGCAGGCAUUUUUGCCUACUAAUGGGACCAAUUCACAACAGCGGAUAACAGUGGAUAACUCCCAUCGUUUAUCCCGGCCAUAAGAUUAUCACGGCCCUGCCGUUUAUCACUACUACAGGUAUUGGUACAAUUCAUUAACUCACCUGUACUGUUAUGAUGUCAAUCUGUGGAAGAAUAUCUACUGCCGAAAUACUGUUUAGACCUCUCGAUGUGAUGGAAAUACAAACCUUGUUGUCAUAUAUACCUCUGAUAUACAUACUUCUGUUUAUAUUAUUUUGUAUGUUAUCUAAAACUUAUUCUAUAAUGUUCUACUGCAGACUUCAUGCUUUAGGAAAGACUGCAAUAUAUGUGAUGUGUUAUCAUGUUAUAAAGGCAUAUUGUAAAAUCACAAGACAAGUUUAAUAUCACAUCAAAUUUAGCCCGGUCAUAGAAGGGAAAUCAAUUUGUUUAUUAUCCUUCCCUUUCACCAACAUGGGAGGUAUUAUUGUUGUCCAUGCGUCUGGUUUGUCUGUCUUGCAUCUUUACAUGCAAAUGUUAACAGAUUUUCUAUAAUCUUGGCCACUUUUUCCUGACUUUAUUUAAUGGAGUUAUGGCCCCUUGAUUAACUAAACACAUUGUUACAUGUAUCUGCUGUUUCUUUGAAAUAACUGGAACAGUUCUUAGAUCGUCUUCAAACUUGAUAACAACGUUGAAUGCCUUAAGGGCUAGGCCAAGUUUGAUAGCCAUUAAUGUUAUUUGGCAGAGUUAUGGCCCCUUGAUUAAUGAAAAUAAUUGUUUUCUGCUGUUUCUAUGCAAUAACUCCCAUAAAUAUUAUCUGAUUAUCUUCAAACUUAGUUAAACAGUUAUCCCCCCUUGAUUCAACAAAUUUUAUCAUUGUGUUGGGCUAUGAUGACAUGUUUACUCCUAACCUUUUCUACAAUAUGUCAGGAAAGCAGGAGAUCUAAAUUCUAUGAAUUUGCUAUUUUUCUUAUCAUUAUGGGUUAUCAGGUAAAAAGAAUCUUAUAUUUUAAUCAACUUCAGUAUAGAAAUUACUUAACUCAUUAAAUAAUGGAAUAUGCAAAAUGUCUGAAGGUUCAUGAAUUAUUAAUUUAGUUAAAUAAAUUCUUGAUUACACCAGCACCAGAUCCUCUUUAUACAUGUAUAAGGAUAGCAACAUUUUCUUCUUAUUGUUUCUUGGUAUAGUUCAAGAAUAAUUGUUUUAAAAUACCAUUAUUUUUCAGCAUAUAUGGUUGUGUAAUUUUGUCAAAAAGUAAUUGUAUGACCUAUGCAGGAAGCAAAAUGUACCAUUUUGAUUUUUGAUUUUUUUUCAAACGUCAAGAGGGCCCGACCAGUAGAUAAUCUGCAGGUUAUACUCGGUUCUCUUUAUUUCUAUAGAUCAUUCUUGGUGUCCAUGCAAUGUUACUUGUAUUGAUAAUUAACAGGUAUACAGUUGUAAAAAGGGUGUGUCAAUCAUCUGAUCAUAUAGUUGUAUGACUAAAUAUUAACUUCAGUAAUAAAACAGUUGUAUGACUUUUUACUUCAAUCCUGGAGGAUAGUAGAGGAAUAUAACCCAGACGUUGGAGGAUAGUAGAGAAAUAUAGCCCAGACGUCGGAGGAUAGUAGAGGAAUAUAGCCCAGACGUCGGAGGAUAGUAGAGGAAUAUAGCCCACACGUCGGAGGAUAGUAGAGGAAUAUAGCCCACACGUCGGAGGAUAGUAGAGAAAUAUAGCCCACACGUCGGAGGAUAGUAGAGGAAUAUAGCCCAGAUGUCGGAGGAUAGUAGAGAAAUAUAGCCCACAGGUCGGAGGAUAGUAGAGGAAUAUAACCCACACGUCGGAGGAUAGUAGAGGAAUAUAGCCCACAGGUCGGAGGAUAGUAGAGGAAUAUAGCCCACACGUCGGAGGAUAGUAGAGGAAUAUAGCCCACACGUCGGAGGAGAGUAGAGGAAUAUAGCCCACACGUCGGAGGAUAGUAGAGGAAUAUAGCCCACACGUCGGAGGAUAGUAGAGGAAUAUAACCCACACGUCGGAGGAUAGUAGAGGAAUAUAGCCCACACGUCGGAGGAGAGUAGAGGAAUAUAGCCCACACGUCGGAGGAGAGUAGAGGAAUAUAGCCCACACGUCGGAGGAUAGUAGAGGAAUAUAGCCCACAUGUCGGAGGAUAGUAGAGAAAUAUAACCCACACGUCGGAGGAUAGUAGAGGAAUAUAGCCCACACGUCGGAGGAGAGUAGAGGAAUAUAGCCCACACGUCGGAGGAUAGUAGAGCCCACACGUCGGAGGAUAGUAGAGAAAUAUAACCCACACGUCGGAGGAUAGUAGAGGAAUAUAGUCCACACGUCGGAGGAGAGUAGAGGAAUAUAGCCCACACGUCGGAGGAGAGUAGAGGAAUAUAGCCCACACGUCGGAGGAUAGUAGAGGAAUAUAGCCCACACGUCGGAGGAUAGUAGAGAAAUAUAACCCACACGUCGGAGGAUAGUAGAGGAAUAUAGCCCACACGUCGGAGGAGAGUAGAGGAAUAUAGCCCCGACGUUGGAGGAUAGUAGAGGAAUAUAGCCCAGACGUCGGAGGAUAGUAGAGGAAUAUAGCCCACACGUCGGAGGAUAGUAGAGGAAUAUAGCCCAGACGUCGGAGGAUAGUAGAGGAAUAUAACCCACACGUCGGAGGAUAGUAGAGGAAUAUAGCCCACACGUCGGAGGAUAGUAGAGGAAUAUAGCCCACACGUCGGAGGAUAGUAGAGGAAUAUAGCCCAGAUGUCGGAGGAUAGUAGAGAAAUAUAGCCCAGACGUCGGAGGAUAGUAGAGGAAUAUAACCCACACGUCGGAGGAUAGUAGAGGAAUAUAGCCCACACGUCGGAGGAUAGUAGAGGAAUAUAGCCCACACGUCGGAGGAUAGUAGAGGAAUAUAGCCUUCAUGUCAACUGUUUUAUUACUGAAGUAAAUAUUUUUAUACUGUGGUCCAACAUUAGAUUCUCCUAGACCAGCUAGUUAUUGUUUUCAAAACACAGGAAUUGAAUAAGAAAUAUUCUUUUUCAAUUAAGAAACUCCCAUUUUGAGUUUGAUUACCUUGAUGUUGUAGACAUCCGUUGGAGUAUUCUGGUGAUGAAAUCCGUAGAUAGUAAUGUAUGUUGUUUUACACCUAGACAACUACUGUAUAUAGAACAUUCCACACACAAGCAUCACAAUGCUCAUGUUUUCAAUUCAUUGUUCCAAUAUUAGUCAGAAGUUGCACAUUUCCCAAAUGAAUAGUGUUGUUAUGAUGAUAGAGCUAAGUGUCGACAUUAAAGUUCUUUCUAUCUGAAGUUAUCAAUUGAUGUGAUUAUACUUGUGUAAUUAUACAUCAGAAUUGUGUACCUGAUGUCAUCAGAAUUGUGUACCUGAUGUCAUCAGAAUUGUGUACCUGAUGUCAUCAGAAUUGUGUACCUGAUUACAUCAGAAUUGUGUACCUGAUGUCAUCAGAAUUGUGUACCUGAUUACAUCAGAAUUGUGUACCUGAUGUCAUCAGAAUUGUGUACCUUAUGUCAUCAGAAUUGUGUACCUGAUUACAUCAGAAUUGUGUACCUGAUUACAUCAGAAUUGUGUACCUGAUGUCAUCAGAAUUGUGUACCUGAUUACAUCAGAAUUGUGUACCUGAUGUCAUCAGAAUUGUGUACCUGAUGUGAUUCCAUGCCAACAGUCGGCCACUUUAGUAGAGGUAUGUUACACAGCCAGUGCCAAUUUAAAUAUCCUCACUUAUAUAGUCAGGUGAUUUCAGAGCAAACUUUAGAAGCUUAUAAAAUCAAAUGAUAUGAUUAAGAAUUGGUGUAAUUUAUACUGACACUACUGUGUCACUACCCUUUUACAUAAUCAUCACACAAUGGAAAUCCUUCUUGUUAAGGUGAAGUGUACCAUCAAGUAUAUCAUUGUUGUUAUCAUCAAAAUUGUUUUCUAAAUCUCAUGUCAACAUGUACUUUACACAAUAAAUGGUUCUAAGGACCUAAUAACCCUAUAAGUCUAGGUCCAUCAGUCCUACAGACCUAAUAAUCCUAUAAGUCUAGGUCCAUCAGUCCUACACAGACCUAAUAAUCCUAUAAGUCUAGGUCCAUCAGUCCUACACAGACCUAAUAACCCUAUAAGUCUAGGUCCAUCAGUCCUACACAGACCUAAUAACCCUAUAUGUCUAGGUCCUUAAGUCCUACACCGACUUAAUAACCCUAUAAGUCUAGGUCCAUCAGUCCUACACAGACCUAAUAACCCUAUAAGUCUAGGUCCGUCAGUCCUACACAGACCUAAUAACCCUAUAAGUCUAGGUCCAUCAGUCCUACACAGACCGCAUAACCCUAUAAGUCUAUGUCCAUCAGUCCUACACCGACCUAAUAACCCUAUAAGUCUAGGUCCGUCAGUCCUACACAGACCGAAUAACCCUAUAUGUCUAUGUCCACCAGUCCUACACAGACCUAAUAACCCUAUAAGUCUAGGUCCAUCAGUCCUACACAAACCUAAUACUCUCUAUCAGUCCUACACAGACCUAAUAACCCUUUAAGUCUAGGUCCAUCAGUCCUACAGACCUAAUAAUCCUAUAAGUCUAGGUCCAUCAGUCCUACAGACCUAAUUACCCUAUAAGUCUAGGUGUAUCAGUCCUACACAGACCUAAUAACCCUAUAAGUCUAGGUCCAUCAGUCCUACACAGACCUAAUAACCCUAUAUGUCUAUGUCCAUCAGUCCUACACAGACCUAAUAACCCUAUAAGUCUAGGUCCAUCAGUCCUACAGACCUAAUAAUCCUAUAAGUCUAGGUCCAUCAGUCCUACAGACCUAAUAACCCUAUAAGUCUAGGUCCAUCAGUCCUACAGACCUAAUAACCCUAUAUGUCUAGGUCCAUCAGUCCUACACAGACCUAAUAACCCUAUAAGUCUAGGUCCAUCAGUCCUACACAGACCUAAUAACCCUAUAUGUCUAGGUCCUUAAGUCCUACACCGACUUAAUAACCCUAUAAGUCUAGGUCCAUCAGUCCUACACAGACCUAAUAACCCUAUAAGUCUAGGUCCGUCAGUCCUACACAGACCUAAUAACCCUAUAAGUCUAGGUCCGUCAGUCCUACACAGACCGAAUAACCCUAUAAGUCUAUGUCCAUCAGUCCUACACCGACCUAAUAACCCUAUAAGUCUAGGUCCGUCAGUCCUACACAGACCGAAUAACCCUAUAUGUCUAUGUCCACCAGUCCUACACAGACCUAAUAACCCUUUAAGUCUAGGUCCAUCAGUCCUACAGACCUAAUAAUCCUAUAAGUCUAGGUCCAUCAGUCCUACAGACCUAAUUACCCUAUAAGUCUAGGUGUAUCAGUCCUACACAGACCUAAUAACCCUAUAAGUCUAGGUCCAUCAGUCCUACACAGACCUAAUAACCCUAUAUGUCUAUGUCCAUCAGUCCUACACAUACCUAAUAACCCUAUAAGUCUAGGUCCAUCAGUCCUACAGACCUAAUAAUCCUAUAAGUCUAGGUCCAUCAGUCCUACAGACCUAAUAACCCUAUAAGUCUAGGUCCAUCAGUCCUACAGACCUAAUAACCCUAUAAGUCUAGGUCCAUCAGUCCUACACAGACCUAAUAACCCUAUAAGUCUAGGUCCAUCAGUCCUACACAAACCUAAUACUCUCUAUCAGUCCUACACAGACCUAAUAACCCUUUAAGUCUAGGUCCAUCAGUCCUACAGACCUAAUAAUCCUAUAAGUCUAGGUCCAUCAGUCCUACAGACCUAAUAACCCUAUAAGUCUAGGUCCAUCAGUCCUACAGACCUAAUAACCCUAUAAGUCUAGGUCCAUCAGUCCUACACAGACUUUAUAACCCUAUAUGUCUAUGUCCAUCAGUCCUACACAGACUUUAUAACCCUAUAAGUCUAGGUCCAUCAGUCCUACACAGACCUAAUAACCCUAUAAGUCUAGGUCCAUCAGUCCUACACAGACCUAAUAACCCUAUAAGUCUAGGCCCAUCAGUCCUUCACAGACCUAAUAACCCUAUAUGUCUAGGUCCAUCAGUCCUACACAGACCUAAUAACCCUAUAAGUAUAGGUCCAUCAGUCCUACACAGACCUAAUAACCCUAUAAGUCUAGGUCCAUCAGUCCUACACAGCCCUAUAACCCUAUAAGUCUAGGUCCAUCAGUCCGGCACAGACCUAAUAUUCUAUCAGUGGUCUGUAGACCUUAUACUCUAUCAGUCCUCUGUAGACCUUAAUACUCUAUCAGUCCUGUGUAGACCUUAUACUCUAUCAGUGGUCUGUAGACCUUAAUACUCUAUCAGUCCUGUGUAGACCUUAUACUCUAUCAGUGGUCUGUAGACCUUAAUACUCUAUCAGUCCUCUGUAGACCUUAUACUCUAUCAGUGGUCUGUAGACCUUAAUACUCUAUCAGUCCUCUGUAGACCUUAUACUCUAUCAGUCCUCUGUAUACCUUAUACUCUAUCAGUCCUCUGUAUACCUUAUACUCUAUCAGUCCUGUAUAGACUUUAUACUCUAUCAGUCCUCUGUAGACCUUAUACUCUAUCAGUCCUCUGUAGACCUUAUACUCUAUCAGUGGUCUGUAGACCUUUUACUCUAUCAGUGGUCAGUAGACCUUAUACUCUAUCAGUGGUCUGUAGACCUUAAUACUCUAUCAGUCCUGUGUAGACCUUAUACUCUAUCAGUGGUCUGUAGACCUUAAUACUCUAUCAGUCCUGUGUAGACCUUUUACUCUAUCAGUCCUCUGUAUACCUUAUACUCUAUCAGUGGUCAGUAGACCUUAUACUCUAUCAGUGGUCUGUAGACCUUAAUACUCUAUCAGUCCUCUGUAGACCUUAAUACUCUAUCAGUCCUGUGUAGACCUUUUACUCUAUCAGUGGUCUGUAGACCUUAAUACUCUAUCAGUGGUCUGUAGACCUUAAUACUCUAUCAGUCCUGUGUAGACCUUAUACUCUAUCAGUGGUCUGUAGACCUUAUACUCUAUCAGUGGUCUGUAGACCUUAAUACUCUAUCAGUCCUGUGUAGACCUUUUACUCUAUCAGUCCUCUGUAUACCUUAUACUCUAUCAGUGGUCAGUAGACCUUAUACUCUAUCAGUGGUCUGUAGACCUUAAUACUCUAUCAGUCCUCUGUAGACCUUAAUACUCUAUCAGUCCUCUGUAGACCUUAAUACUCUAUCAGUGGUCUGUAGACCUUAAUACUCUAUCAGUCCUGUGUAGACCUUAUACUCUAUCAGUGAUCUGUAGACCUUAUAAUCUAUCAGUGGUCUGUAGACCUUUUACUCUAUCAGUGGUCUGAUCUUUUAUAUGUAAGGGAGAUUACUCGCUGUCCUUUGGAAGUUUUAACUUGACAAGUAAUCUUAUGUAAUAUGGUACCCUUCACGAUAACAUUAAGGUUAUCCUGACAUAAUUUGAUAUUGAGAAUUUUAUGGAAAUUGUAACUUCGUCAUCUGUCCCAAAUAUUCUACAUUUACAUUCUAUCACAUUAUUUUGUGUUUCUGCCCUAUAUUUUUGUUGAGAUUAGUUUGUAUGUUUUAACCAUAUGUACCCGUAUAUCACAUGGGUGUUAAUUUGGCCAUUGAAUAUUUCAUAAUAUAUAUUCUUAUUGAGCUAUCAUAGUGAUAUAUUUCAAAUAUUGGACUUCUAUUUUGGCUUUAUUUAAAUGUAAGUAAAUUAUGUAUACUAUUGUCACCACAAGUGGAAAUGGCUGCUGUACCUUCCUAUAUGAGCUGUCAUUCUAUACAUACAGCCUGUAAUAGGUCAAUCCACAGUCUACGUAUGAUGUGUCUGUGGAUUAAUCCACACAUAGACUGUAUAGGAUGUGUCUGUGGAUCAAUCCACACAGACUUUGUAGGAUGUGUCUGGAUCAAUCCACAAAGCCUGUGUAGGAUGUGUCUGUGUGGGUCAAUCCACACAUAGCCUACAUAUGAUGUGUCUGUGGGUCAAUCCACACAUAGACUUUGUAGGAUGUGUCUGUGGAUCAAUCCACACACAGACUGUGUAGGAUGUGUCUGUGUGGGUCAAUCCACACAUAGACUGUGUAGGAUAUGUCUGUGUAGGUCAAUCCACACAUAGACUGUGUAGGAUGUGUCUAUGUAAGUCAAUCCACACAAAGACUGUGUAGGAUGUGUCUGUGUGGGUCAAUCCACACAUAGCCUACAUAUGAUGUGUCUGUGUGGGUCAAUCCACACAUAGUCUAUGUAGGAUGUGUCUGUGGGUCAAUCCACACAUAGACUGUGUAGGAUGUGUCUGUGUGGGUCAAUCCACACAUAGCCUACGUAUGAUGUGUCUGUGUAGGUCAAUCCACACAGACUGUAGGAUGUGUCUGUGUGGGUCAAUCCACACAUAGACUGUGUAGGAUGUGUCUGUAUGUCAAUCCACACAGACUGUGUAGGAUGUGUCUGUGUGUUGUUCAACAAAAAGUACAAUAAAAAUCUAAAACAUGA